rnacentral:rRNA from 1 species
ACUACGGGAGGCAGCAGUGGGGGAUAUUGCACAAUGGGGGGAACCCUGAUGCAGCGACGCCGCGUGGGUGAAGAAGCGCCUCGGCGCGUAAAGCCCUGUCAGCAGGGAAGAAAAUGACGGUACCUGAAGAAGAAGCCCCGGCUAACUACGUGCAAGCGGCCGCGGUAAUACGUAGGGGGCAAGCGUUAUCCGGAUUUACUGGGUGUAAAGGGGGCGCAGACGGCGAUGCAAGCCAGGAGUGAAAGCCCGGGGCCCAACCCCGGGACUGCUCUUGGAAGUGCGUGGCUGGAGUGCAGGAGGGGCAGGCGGAAUUCCUGGUGUAGCGGUGAAAUGCGUAGAUAUCAGGAGGAACACCGGUGGCGAAGGCGGCCUGCUGGACUGCAACUGACGUUGAGGCCCGAAAGCGUGGGGAGCAAACAGGAUUAGAUACCCGAGUAGUC